UAUGGGGAUCGAAUUUAGCCAUGCUAGUUGCACGAGUUUAGACUCGUAGCAUAUAGCUCAGUAACACGUGGCCAAACUACCCUACAGACCGCAAUAACCUCGGGAAACUGAGGCCAAUAGCGGAUAUAACUCUCAUGCUGGAGUGCAGAGAGUUAGAAACGUUCCGGCGCUGUAGGAUGUGGCUGCGGCCGAUUAGGUAGAUGGUGGGGUAACGGCCCACCAUGCCGAUAAUCGGUACAGGUUGUGAGAGCAAGAACCUGGAGACGGUAUCUGAGACAAGAUACCGGGCCCUACGGGGCGCAGCAGGCGCGAAACCUUUACACUGCACGACAGUGCGAUAGGGGGACUCCGAGUGUGAGGGCAUAUAGCCCUCGCUUUUCUGUACCGUAAGGUGGUACAGGAACAAGGACUGGGCAAGACCGGUGCCAGCCGCCGCGGUAAUACCGGCAGUCCGAGUGAUGGCCGAUAUUAUUGGGCCUAAAGCGUCCGUAGCUUGCUGUGUAAGUCCAUUGGGAAAUCGACCAGCUCAACUGGUCGGCGUCCGGUGGAAACUACACAGCUUGGGGCCGAAAGACUCGACGGGUACGUCCGGGGUAGGAGUGAAAUCCUGUAAUCCUGGACGGACCACCAAUGGGGAAACCACGUUGAGAGACCGGACCCGACAGUGAGGGACGAAAGCUAGGGUCUCGAACCGGAUUAG
rnacentral:rRNA from 1 species